GCAAUAUAAAGGGUGGCGCCAGCAGCAACGGUCCUUUUGGAGCCGGACUCUGAGGGUGGAUGUGAAAUUUAAUGUUUGUGCAGCACUGGUGCAAGGCGUUUGGGUAUGGUGAUUUUAAAAAAGAGUAAAUCUGCAGAUGCUGGAAAUCCAAGCAGCGUGCACAAAAUACUGGAGGAACUCAGCAGGCCACGCAUCAUGUAUGCCAAAGAGAACAGUUAACGUUUCUGGUUGAAACCCUUUGGCAGGGCCCUUUGCUGGUCCAAAGAACUAUGAGGAGCAGUCGCAAAUACAGGCUAUGUGCUACAAUAAGCAUUUCCAGAAUUUUCCAAAGUCAAGCCAACUUUGGUCAUAUGAACUGGAAGAAAUAGCAGUGUCUUGGACAUUAAGGUCCUGUGGUGCCAUGAACAUCUGCAAAAUAUGGAUGGAAGCAUCCGAACAGAUUUCGUGGAUGUAGAAAUUACAGAGCGGCACGCACACAUUGUGAGAGUAAUGCAGCAGGUCCUAAUAUUUUGGAGGAAGAUUUUGAAGUGAAUGGUGAUACUGUAGCAAGGUGAAUGAUAGUAAAAUGGCUUUGAAUGAUGACUCCUUGAAGAUCAUCCUGCAUAUGCUAGUGUAUCUUACAGCAUUGGGCUGCUGAUCAUAAAAAUGCAUCAUUGUUUUGUUCAUGCUGUAUGGGCAUAGCAUUUUGUGUCUACCUAUCAGAAUAAAGUCAUUGUAUUUUCAGAA